rnacentral:lncRNA from 1 species
CCACAAGUUAAGGGAGGACAGGUUCAUUUAGCUCACAGUGUGUGGAGGUUUCCGUCCAUAGUCGGUUGGCUCCAAGGCAGGGGGCCUGGCAGAGGAGGAGCAGCUCAGGGAAGCAAGGGCCCUCAGCAGCUGCUUUCUGCCACCUUUAUAGUCUUUCUUGGGUACUGGGAUCAGGGCAGGUGCACAACCAAUCAGGACUGAUUUAGUAAUCACACACCCUUAAUCCUAGCAUUGCACCAUGAAUCAGUCACACACCUUAGAUCCAGCCACCUCUGAAAAAGCUCCAUCUCUGACCACUUGAGGCUUGUGGGGACAGCUAGACACAGCCAUAACAAGGCUGGUAAAUAGAUAAAAAGUUGGCAAGCCUGAUCGAGAACAAAAGUGGAAACUUAGAAGACAAGGGAUGUAGUUCCAGGAACAGAGAAUAUUUUAAAACUAUAAAAGAAUGAUAUUGUGUGGCAAUAUUAUUCAAACAUCUAUGUGAAAUGGGUGCUUUCUAGAGAAAUAUUAGAGUUGCCUCUAAAAAAGAUACCAGGCCCCGAUGGUUUUAUGGGAGGAUUCCCUAAGCCUCAAAGGCACAGAUAAUUCCCAUGUGAAGGGAAUCAUGUUCCCAGCAUGCUCUAUGAGUGGUGUAUGCUGAUAUUAAAACAACGCAAGGAUAGGAUAAGCAAGGAAAAUGGUAAUUUCACUCUGUAAUUCAAUACAUUAGGAAAUAGAUUUAUGAAUUUAAUAUAUGACAUAAUGUUUAAUAUUUAACUCAUGUUUAUGCAUAAACGUAAGAGCAAGAAUCAAGCUAUGACAAAGCCGGGGAACUACAGUCACCAUCUCACAUCAGGAGCUGGGAUCACAGAGACCUGCAGAGCUGCCUGCGGGGAGGAGGGCAGGUCUGCUGCCAGCUCACUUGCCUCUGGUGGUGGUGUGGGCUGUGGCUGGGUGAAGUGGGGCACCCAGGAGUGUGUCUGCAGAGGCCAGUAAGGGUUUCCACCGGAAGUGAGGAUCCUGGCCGUUGACAUGGCAGUUGCUCUUGGUGAGGCAGAUGCUCCAGAAGGGGAUGGGCAGAGAAGUGGACACAGCCCAGACCUGGGAGAUGCCAGGCAUGGCUGCUAUCCUCGUCCUUGCAGGGGAGGGUGGGUGCAUCCACUUGGCCUCUUUGCCUCCGCACGGGACCCAGGAUUUGUCCUGGGGUGUCUGCAGCAGGCUGGGCACUGUGGCCAGGCUGGUGGCUUGAGGACUGGCAGGGAUGGCAAGAGACCUGAACUCUGUUGGGAGAGCCUCAGUCUUUCCCCACAUCUGUCCUCCACCUCAGCCACAGGUGUCACACAGAGAGGCCCCUGGAGCCCCUGCAGCUUGACUCUGCCCACGCGCCAACAGGGAGAUGCUUCUUCUUAUCACCCUCAUUGCUCUGACUGUGGCUGGAGUCCCAGCCCCACCUCUGCCCUCUCACCUCUCUGGGAGCAGGCGAGAGAUCAUCUGCCCAAGAGAGGACGCCUUUCCAGGGAGGAGCGCACCGAGGGGGCCCUGCCAGCCCCUGGGGUCCUCACCUUGCCUUCUUCAAGCAGGGACAGGACGGCCUUGAAGGAGGGAGGUGAGCUGUCCCUUCCACCGUGAACUCCCACCACCACGUUCUGCCUUGCCAAGAGCCCAACGGCAAGAGCCAGUGACCAUGGACUGAGCCCUCUGAACCCAUGAUCCAAGCCUUUCCUCUUUCUUGCUUUUAUUUAUUUAAAAGUUUUGGUGCUGGGGAUGAAAGCCAGGCCAAUGCUCCACACCUGAGCUGCAGCCCAGCCCUACCUUGCCUCAUUUUUUGUUGUUGUUUUUUGAGGUAGGGUCACCCUUUGCAGUUCAGGCUGGCCUCAAACUCACGGCAAUCCUCCUGCCUCAGCCUCCUGAGUGCUGGGAUUACAGGUGUGCACCACCACACCUGGCUUUGCCGCUUUUGAAGCAGA